AGCUUUGCGCAGUGGCAGUAUUGUAGCCAAUGAGGUUUAUCCGAGGCAUGAUUAUUGCUAAUUGAAAACUUUUCCCGAUACAUGUAAACAUUGUGAAACAAAUUGCUACUUGAAAGAUUGAUUAUUUU
rnacentral:snRNA from 1 species